CCCAGUUCCCUCAACCUUUCUUCAUAGGAGAGGUGCUCCAGCCCUCUGACCAUCUUAGUGGCCCUCAUUGUGCUGCUCCCACCUUCCUGCAGUCCAGCUUGCACCUUGCAGUCUGAAUUUGGGCAGUGUGAGUUCUGGGGUGCUCGUGCUGUGAAAACAGGCUGCAGGUACUAAGAAGAGCAGCCCCUAUAUUCCUAGAACUGGUGUUGCUGCUCUUAUCACUGUAGUUUGUGAGAGAGAAAUACUUCAUCUCUGUGCUGCUCACACUUCCAGAUGAUUUAGGACUUUAGAUUCUAAAGUCCUAAAUGGGAGAAAAAAAAAGAAAGAAUUUAAGCAAUGCAUUCUGGAUUCUUUGAGGGAAAUCAUAAAGGGCAAAGGGUAUCCUGGCACUGAGAAGAUUCAACCUUUAAGCACAGUGACAUAGAAAGAAGGAUAUUCUGUUUAUGGAAGAAGGGAGGAGGGAAAUUAAAGACUGGGGAGCAAAAAGAAGCAGCUCACUAAUGAAAGCCUGUGCUUUGGGGUAGGACAGAGAGGCCUGUUGCCUCCCAGAAGCAGAAGCCACCCUCUGUGGUACACAGCCCAUUGCACGGCCUGUUGCUGCUGGUGAGGAGGCCUGCAUGGGUCUGGCCUGGCUCCCUUCCCCCCCGGGGGUUUUGGGGCUGGAUACCUUUUGAAUAUCUGAACCAUCCAUUUUUGAAGGUCUCUGCUUCCUUGGAAAGUAAAGUAUAUGAUCAAGAAGUGUGUGACCCAAUCCUUGGAGGUAUCCCAUGUGCCUUGUUUCUGCUGCUAGUAGAAGCCCAGAGAAGCUGACUGGGUCUAUGGCAUCUUUCUGGCUGGGGAUAUCUCUCAUGCCCAGCAUGGCCCCCACAGCUCUCUUCUCCCUGUGAGCUCUCAAAGAAAGUCCUUCCUUCAUUUCGCAAGGUCUCAGAGCAGCCUCCCCACGCCACAGAGCCUGCUGGUGGCUCUGGGCAUUGUACCUAAUGAGCUGACAGCAGGUUAGCUGCAGCAAGGCUGUCCCUGUGGGGCUGCGAAUCCUUCCUUAACCAAGCUGACUGGUACUUCUGCUUCUCUGCAUCUGCAAUGAGCCCUGGAUUGCUGCAGAGGAUACAGCGGAACUGAAAGGAAAACAGCAGCAGCAGUGCCUGGAGUGCUGCAGGAUGUCACCAGGAGCUGCCUAGGCUGGGCUGAUGUCCUCUGUCUGCUGCAUGACCAUAUCCUGCAGAGAGGAAGGGAGGCGGGCAGAGACAGCAACGCCAGCCUCAGAGAGAUGACUUGCAGCAACCUUGCAGUGAUAUGUAUCUUCCACUUGCUGAUAUCCAGGUAGCUGUGCCAUCUCCAGAAUGAACUCUGUACCAGGCAGGCUGCCCGUGGCUUUCACUUGGAAAUCCCCCCAUUCCUAACCUUAGUCCCUUUCAAUGCUUCCUAGCUCAAGCUGGAGUGAAUGAUGGGAGACUCAGAUGCUAUGCGACUCAGAUGCUAUAGGCUUGGUGUUCUUCCAUGGAGAAAGGUUAAGACUUCUCUCCUGCAAGCAGAAACGUGUCUAGUGUGGCUCUCUGGAAAGCUCUUACCUUGCUGACAGCUGCUGGUGAUUUUCCACUCUUCCAGGGGAAAGCCUUCAUGGAAGCUGCUCAGCAAUCUUCCCUGAGGAAAGCCUGGUGGAGACAGCAGGGAUGUCCUGCAGGAUCAUUCCUUGGAACACAUGGGGUGCUGCCUGGAGGUGGACAGGCUCCUAGAACAGAAGUGCUGUGUGUGAGAGCUGCAGCUGCACGUCACAUGCUAUGUGGGUGCUAUGCACCUCUAUAGUUUCCAGCAAGGAAUAGAUUGUGCCCACCAGCCUGGGCUAGGACUCUCCCAGUGUGCACUUUCAGUGCGGGUUUCAUUUAUUACAUAAUAAAAUCCCACUUCCUGUAUGGGAUUUACUUGGGACACAUCUUUUUUCAUAUGUUUUUGCUGUCUGGCCAUUGGCAGCAGCAGAGGCUUGCUUCUACGCAUACAUGAGUUAGCACAGCAGAUGUCCUCCAUUAGCAAACCUUUUGGGCAGCCUCAUGGACAAGCACACCACCCUGGAUACCCUGAACACGGUACUCUUCCUUCAACAGCCUCAGAGUAAUCCUUAUCACAGCCACAUUUCAUUUUUGUUAAAGGGAGUGCUAGCUCUUGGUAAGACGCCUUGAUCUAAAGCCAGUGAUUCUUUAAGGAAAAGGUCACAGGAUGGCAAAGGUUGAUAUAAUUGAACUCAGAUUAUCUUGUUAAGAACAUUUCUACUUUUAUCUUUUUAUUUCCUCCCAAAACACACCAUUGUGAGUGAAUCAGAGACUUAAGGCAGAUCUGGAGAUCACAGAAUCAUAAUAUCCUGAGCUGGAAGGGACCCACAAUUAUCAUUGAGUGCAACUCCAGGCUCUGCAUAGCACCACCCAACAUCAAACCCUAUGUCUGAGAGCAAUGACCAAACUCCUCCUGAACUCUGGCCUGCACAGCCUGUUCCAUACCCACCGCCCUCUGGUGCAGAAGCUUUCUCUAACCCCCAGCUGUCCCUUCCCUGACACAGCUCCAUGUUGCUUCCACUGCCAAUUGUACGAGUAAAAAACUUCCUCCUGUGCGCACACCAGUUAUUAGCAUGUCCUCUACAGUCUGACUCACUGGUACCAGGCUCUCUCUGCUGGGUCUGCAUGUGAUGAGAAGAGGUAGCUACCUUUGGCAUCACUGUGGCUGACACUAUUUGCUUUUGUAAGCUGUAAGGUAGUAAAGGCAUCUCAAGGUGCUGAGCAACUGGAAGUGAGGGUAAAGCUGUGUGUUGCUUUGGUAAAAUCCAGGCAUCUGAGCACUGCUUCUUUACUCCUGCAUGGGACACCUCCGUGGAAGUCAUUAUAACCAAUAUAUAGCGGGCACUGCAGAUGGAAAAUGCUGGUGUUUUUUUUAGUGGUAUAACUCUACUGAGAUAAUCACUAUCUAAGAGUUUCAUCAAAAUCUUUGUGUUACAAAGGUGUGAGUGAACAGAGAACCUGCCCACUACAUUAGAAAUGAUAAAGUUUUCCUGAUGAAGCAUACGAAGUGCCAAGCAAUUGCUCUUUUCAUUUACACCUCUUUUAUUCCAAUAUAACUCCAUUAAUUUGACAAUUAUAGGAGAAGUGUGGUUCCCCUGGGAGGAAUUUCACCUUUAUGGUUCUUGAAAUUGAUGACAUGUAUACCUUUCUUGUAGUGUAGCUAUGAUUGUUCAACAAAAAUAAUUUCUAUACAGAUCAGAUGAAACCGCACCUACCAGGGUCAUUAAGAAGCAGUGAGCAGCCAAUUCUUGUUUGCAUAGUUUCAGAGACUGUUAAGAGUUGGAAACCCAUAAAUGAGUGAUUAGACCCUUUGAGGAAAGAGAGUGUUCAAAUUUCUUAGCCAGACUCGAGCCUGAGUGAGGAUGGUGGUAACAAGAAGAAGCUUCUGCGGGGUAUCUCCCAUCAACUCCCUGCUUGAUGGCAGAGAUCAGCUCAAAGGAAGGCCUGAUCCUGACUUCUUAUCUCCUCCCCUUGGCAACUGCCUUCAAGAGACAUUUUAACUUUCAUCCUCAUCCACCUCAGUCAGUCCCUCUUAUUUAGACUGUGGGACCAUAUCUCUUAGAUCAAUCUUCACGUCCCUUGGGUCUGAAGAGAAGCUGGGAUUUUCUGAUUAGUUUGAAUUACAGUGGAUGAUUUUAAAACUUUCAUCCUAGAAGAAUGUGUUUCAGGAGCAAAAGAGAUUGCUGGAUCUUGUGUAACGUUUCACGUACUUUAUACAAUGCCUGAAUCAAGUAAAACAUGUUGAAGUUUGAAUAGGGAAGCUUCUGGUCUGCUCUGUAGGUUUGGCUAAUUGAGAGCCUUUCUGUGCUUCAAAGCUUUUCUAAGAUGUCAAACAUUUUGAGUUAAUUAGGGUUAGGAACCGUUUCACUGUUUGAAUUUGUGACAGCAGAGAGUUAAAGCUUUGCUUACAAGUCUCUCACUUGGAAAUACAUACAAAGCUGCUCAGUCUUAAUUCCCAAGUUUGCUUUAAGUUUUUUGGGUAAGCAUUUUAUCUCCUCUCAAUCUCUGUGAAAGGUCUCAGGUCUUUAUGUGCCUUUCUUUCACAGCAGAGUUUGUCUAGACUUGGUGGGGACCGUGCUAACUUUGCCAUCAAGUCUGUAGGAAGACAAAAUACUUCCCAAGUGUGUGCUGGCUUCUCAGGAUGAUGGCUAACAAGGGUAGAGAUU